rnacentral:sRNA from 1 species
AUUAAUGAUAGAUAGAAAAUGUAAUUUAGUGUGUGAUUGGUUCGUCUGUAACUGUAGAUUUUUUAUUAUAGAUUUUUUGCUGUAGAAUUUUUGCUGUAUGUGUGAUGACUGUAGCUGUAUAUUUUAUUGCUUUAAAAAUUAGGGAGAUUUGCAAAAUUGCCCUUAUUUUAAUAACCUUUUGUAAAAGUGCCCUUUCCUGAAGGCCAUUUUUAAAACUACCCCUUCUAAUAUGCCAAAUGACUGUCUUACCCUCUGAAUGAUUAGGUUUCACGUUCGUUUCACAAACUUCUUCGUUUUGGCACAAACUUCUUCGUUUUCCUCUCCGAUUUCACUCAAAAUCGCCGGCGAAUUUCCUCUCCGAUUUCACUCAAAAUCGCUGACGAAUUCCCUCUCCGAUUUCACUCAAAAUCGCCAACGAAUUUCCUCUCCGAUUUCACUCAAAAUCGCCGACGAAUUUUCUCUCUGAGAAACCCCAAAAUCGCAGACGAAUUUCCUCUCCGAUAAACCUGUUCUUCUGUGAAGGAUUCAGAUCAUUUCUCUACGACGCAAACAAUCCCCAGAGAUAUCGAUUGAUCCGACGGUAACCGUUUUAAUAAUCGAUUUUAUAGUCAAUCUGACGCUGUUUCAUAACAUGUUUUGCAGAUGGAUUCAGAGAGUGAAAUCCUUACAUUGCCUGAACAAAUCUACAGAGAAGGUGAGGAAUCUAUUGCACUGGGAACCGUUCAACAAUACUCGGAUUGGAAUUUAGUUAGUAAAGUAGAGGAAGCUUUAGGCGAGUGUUUAUUUCAGAAGAUUAGAAGUUCGUUUCUUGGUCCUCUAGUUGAAUUGGGACCAAAAAUGAAGGCUAAGAAGGGAAUCAGAUUUUCUGGAAAAAUCUUUCACUAUCUCAUGCAGCAGAGAGUGAAAACAAAAGGAUCAACUCUUUGGUUUAGAGUUGAUUCUCAACCUAUCCGUUUCUCCUUGAGAGAGUUCUAUCUCACAACAGGUAAUAAAGUUUUACAAUCGUUUUUAAAGCUUAAUUAACUGUCGUAGAAUGAUUUACAAGGCAUUUGCAUAACUGUUUGCGUAGUUUACAAUCGUUUUUAAAACAUAAGUAAGUGUCAUAGAUAAUUUACAAGGGAUUUUAAAAGCUUUUAAAAGGGGUUUACUUCAUUAACAAUCGUUUAAGAAGCAUAAGUUAGUGGCAGAUAAUGAUUUACAAGGGAUUUUAAAAAGGGUAUGCAUGGUUUACAACCGUUUUUAGGCAUAAGUAAUUAGCAUAGAAUAAUUUACAAGGAAUUUUAAAAGCUUAAAGAAGUGUUAAACACGUUUACAAGGGAUUUUAAAAGCAUAAGUAAGUGUCUUAAAACGAUUUACAAGGGAUCUUAGAAGUGUUUGCAUAGUUUACAAUCGAUUUUAAAACAUAAGUAAGUGGCAUAGAAUAUCUACAAGGGAUUUUAAAACCUUUUCUAAGGGUUAAACAUGAUUAGCAAUCGUUUUUUAAGCAUAAGUAAGUUGAAUAGAAUGAUUUACAAGAGAUUUUAAAAGCUUUUAGAAGGGUUAAACAUGAUUUACAAUCGUUUUUAAAGCAUAAGUAAGUGUCAUAUAAUGAUUUACAAGAGAUUUUAAAAGUGUCUGCAUGGUUUACAAUCGUUUUUAAACCAUAAGUUAGUGGCAUUGAAUGAUUUAUAAGGGAUUUUAAAAGCUUUUAAAAACU